rnacentral:lncRNA from 1 species
AUAAGCAGGGUACAGAGCUGAGCCAGCAGUACACAGAGUGGAGUAGACAGUUGACCCAGAGACAUAUGAAGCACAUUGAAGACCUGCAGACUGAACUACACACACACACCGAGAUGAUGGCCCUGCAGCAGGACUUAAAGCAGCAGAACCAGUACCAGGUGCUGGAUCGUCAGCUGGAUGAGAGUCGCAGCGCCGUUCUGGAACUACAGAGAGAAAACACUGAACUGAGGGACCAGCUGAGGUCGGGAGAGGAGGACAUGGAAAGAGAAAGACAACAGAAGGAGAGAGAAGAGGAAGCACAACGACUGAGAGAAGAGGAAGCACAACGACUGAGAGAAGAGGAGAUGGAGGAGAAGAGGAAGGAGGAGGAGAAGAACAGGAGAGAGGAAGAUGAGAAGAGGAGAGAGGAGGUGAAUAGAAGAGAGGAGGAGGAUGAAGAGAAGAGAAGGAAGGCGGAGGAGGAGGAGAAGAGGAGGAAGGAGGAG